rnacentral:lncRNA from 10 species
CAAUCUUUGCUUUCAAAUAUAUGACAAAACGUACAGAUAAAGCUGAAAUCCUCUCUAUGCUGCUUGCAAGCCUCAUGUUCCUGUCUGCCUCCCCAAAGCCACCACCACCAGGAAUUUGGAAAACAUCCUUUGACCACAAAUAUGAGCAGCCAUUGAUAACGACAAGAUGAUUCAUAACGUUAACAAAUCAAAGUAACUGAGAGACAUCUAGAAUCUCAACACCUUACAGAAUGUUAUCAGGGAAUGCUACUCCCUCGAUGUCUCAGUUUGGGACUCCCUAAGAUAAGGACUUGUAUGCUCUUAGUCUAUCAGGAGAACCCAGAAAGUAAGAGUGAGGGAAGUGGGGCGGUGGGCAGUGGAAGCCAAUAUAAAUGUACAUUACUGAAACUGCUACUGAGCUUGGACAACAAGGGACAACGUCUGUCAGUACCUCACGAAAAGUGCACCAAACGCUGCCCAGAAACGCUGCCCCAGGAGGCGGGGAUGGAACCUUCAUCUGCCAGCUCCUCUUCCCCAUUGGUUGAAGAUGGCCUCAGGGCACUGACUUCCCCACACUUCAGACUAUCCCUUCCAUGAGCCAGGAAGGCUUCAGAACAGGUGCUGAAGGAAAACAGGAAAGAAACACAGUGCACACUUCCCUGGGGCUCAGUCACCCACCUAGAACUGUUGGGCCAUCUGAACCUGGCCUCCAGCUAGGACCAUUGAAGCUGGACAACAGCUAGUAGCAGGCCUCUGUCUUCCUUACACAUGAAUCUGACUUGACUAUAUGGAGUAGUGCUGCCCUGCUUCCUGAAAUUCAACGAAUGAUGGGGAGAGUAAGUUUUCCAAUUCCCACGAGCUGUCUCAGUUAGAAAAUUCCAAACAAGGGGUCGCCAUCUUUGAAGUCACCCAUCUCUUACAGCCCCAAACAAACACACACACAAUAUCAAUGCUAUUUACGCCAUUCAUCUUUCCACAUUCUUUUCUGUAUGUAGAAUAAAAGAGCAGCUGCCCAGCAGCAUGAAAAAGUCAACACCUUUCUGGGUGGCCUAUACCAGAUUACAGUUCAAGGGAAUGAGCCACAUGUAUUUCUAAAAUUCCAGCGCAUAGUAGAUGCUCAGUAAAUUUACGGUAAAGUGUUGACUCCUACUUCAUAUCUAAAAAGUCAGCUUUACUUUGCAUUACUCUUCAAAGGAUGAGUCCACAACCUAAGGUGGUUUCAUACAGUGUUCAGGUCCCUUAUUUAUCUCACUCCUUCCCAUCCCCUGGGCAGUCACAGGACAGACGAUGGGUGUGUUGUGAGAAAUAAAGGGACCCACAGCAUAGGCUCUACAUAGGGCAAAAGGCAACAGUGGGGAUUUAAUGUGAGGUGGAGGGGGAACAAGGAGUUGGUAAGGAAGAGGUCAGUAGCUCAAAGGGUGAGUGGGAGAAACUAGGAAGUGUUGUGGGUUGUUGCUGAUGAAAACUUUCCGUAUCUUCACAAUUGCUAGGAGUCUGCUGUGAUUCUCUUUAUGUGCAAAACUCCAUUCUUUCCAGUCAUCUCUCUGGAAUAAUUUCUAUAUUCAGAGCCUUCUUGUUACUUGUCAUUGUCACUCAGAUUGCUUAAACUUACAUGAUAAUCUAUUGUGUUCAGUCCAACUAUGUCAGCAUUGCCAACAUUCUGCAGGGCAGAGAACAUGUCAGCUGACUUCACUGUGGUGCCCAGCGUAUUUGCAGUUCUCAGUGAACCCAGUUAACUGCCCAUUCCCUCAACCCAGAUGGCCUUUCUUUUGAUUAAACAUAUGAGGCUUCCAAUGCCAAAGGGAGACAGAGGAUGAUAGUUAUUUUCUGGAAGACUCCAGCCAUAAUCUCACUUUUGCCUAAGUGUGAUUUUGUUUACCUUAAUUGCCUUUGUAGCUAGAGGGAGACUUUACUCUAUAGGGCCAGAAAAAGACCUACGAAGGUUAUUUAUCAUCAGGAUAACAGGCUUAAUUAUCUGUUAGAAAUAGAGACUAGAUCCCUCUACCCUUUCAUGCUGUCUCUGGGAAGAAGGUCGAUUUCCCAGGGCCUUCCCUUUUCAUCUCACCACCUUUCACCCCUUCCCCAAUUAAGGCAACCAAAAAUAAAACACUCAUCGGAUUCUACAAAUCAGGAGAGGACCCUUAGGAGAAAUAACAAUAUGAGGUGUCUUUUGCGUCCCAUCCACAAAUAAUACCUUUUAUGUUAUUGGUUAGGUAUGAUCUGAUGUUAGACUUUCAAACCAUGAGUCAAGUAAACACAAAAGUCUGAGACUUGCUAAACUCUAACACCCUGUUUUCUGGCUACCGUUUUUUCCCCUCAAUAGUCUCAAUUUUUAGGUAAUAUCCUGUAACUGCAAAUAGGUUUUAGAAGACUGAUUUGAUUUUUUUUAGUUAAUCAAUAAGGUUCAAAUGUAUUUUUGAUUUACUAGGCUGCGAGGCAUACACUGCAUUUAUAUUAGAGCUGAGCAUUAUAGGAAGCAAGGACUGUCACUUCUAAAGGAUGCCACCAUCCACACACUUCCUCUGUGUUUUCCCCCUUCUGGCUACAAGAGCGUUCAUCAUUCCUAGUUCUUUAUGCUUAUAUAACAUCUCAACACUUUCUUAGUUUCGAUGGAAGACACCAGAAUAUUUUUUUCUUAAAGAACUCUGUGCUAUAGAUAUGCAUAGAUGGCUUUUCAAAACAAUUAAUUAGAGAUGUAGCUUAUUCUUGUACUCCAUACCAAACAUACAAUGAAACACUACCCUAACAACUGGGUAGGGUACCAAUUUCAAGAUUAAAAGCAUUAGCCAGGUGUGUUUUUUCAAAGAUUCCAUUUUUCCAAACAUCAUGUUCAAGCAAAA